UACGGAGGGUGCGAGCGUUGUCCGGAAUCACUGGGCGUAAAGGGCGCGUAGGCGGCUUGUUGCGUCGUCCGUGAAAACCCGCAGCUCAACUGCGGGCUUGCGGACGAUACGGGCAGGCUGGAGUUCGGUAGGGGAGACUGGAAUUCCUGGUGUAGCGGUGAAAUGCGCAGAUAUCAGGAGGAACACCGGUGGCGAAGGCGGGUCUCUGGGCAGUAACUGACGCUGAGGAGCGAAAGCGUGGGGAGCGAACAGG
rnacentral:rRNA from 1 species